UGGAUCAAUCUGAAUUGACUAUUUAAUUUUUUUAAAAUUUUAAUUUUAUCUAAUUUGAAUUAGUCAAUAAUAUUUUAAUUUGAAUUUUAAGCUAAUUAUUAUUUUAAUAAAUUUAUACCUGCGGGAAUUAUAUUGAAUGUAUUAACUAAAUAUGUAACGAUAAACGAUGCAUUCAACUUUUAAAGUCAAAGUGCUGAAAAUCAAAAUUUUGAAAGAUUGAAUAGCUAAAUCAAAAUGAUCGAUAAUUCUAAUAAGUUCUACACAUUUUAAAUUUUAAAGCCAAAGUGCCGAAAAUGGAAUUUUUGAACGAUUAGAUAACCAAAUCACAAUUGUCCAUAAUUCUAAUUAAUAAGUUCUAUGCAUUUUUACUUAUAACUUUGCAUUGAAGGUGCAACUCAAUUAUUUAUCUAGUUUUAACAACUAAAAAACUGCUAAGAUGCCAUUUGAGAUUGUAGGGAAAUUACUUUGUGUUGUGAAAAAAUACGAUAAAAAAAUAUUUUAUUUACUUUCGUGUGUAAUAUCAUGUUGUCUGUAUCGUAAUGAGCCAUUUUUUACUUGGUAGUUUAGCGUAUUUUCAUUCUAACACUCUCUGCUUUAAAAGUUGUUAUUAACCAUUUGUUUACUUUAUAUUUAUUUCAUAAUUCGUA
rnacentral:lncRNA from 1 species